UAGAUGCGAGAGUAGAGCAUAUCAAUAAGCGGAGGAAAAGAAACUAACAAGGAUUCCCCUAGUAACGGCGAGUGAAGCGGGAAGAGCUCAAAUUUGAAAUCUUCAAGGGUUUCCCUUGACGAAUUGUAGUUUAAAGAAGUGUUUUCUGUUAGAGAGGUGGUAAAAGUUCUUUGGAAUAGGACAUCAUAGAGGGUGAGAAUCCCGUAUUUGAUCACUUUCUACUAACGUUGUGAUACACUUUCAAAGAGUCGGAUUGUUUGGGAAUGCAGUCCAAAAUGGGUGGUAAAUUUCAUCUAAAGCUAAAUAUUGGCGAGAGACCGAUAGCGAACAAGUACCGUGAGGGAAAGAUGAAAAGAACUUUGAAAAGAGAGUUAAACAGUACGUGAAAUUGUCAAAAGGGAAGCGUUUGACACCAGUGUUGUUUUUCCGAAAAUCAAUUAUGAAUGGCUUGAUUUUAAGUUUCAUGACCUUAAAAGCUUGUUUCUUAUUUUUCAUGUCUUUCGUAAUGCACUUUUCGGUUAACAAGUCAACAUCAAUUUCUUUUGUUGUAAAAGGUUAAGAGGAAGGUGGCUUUACUUUCGGGUAAAGUGUUUAUAGCCUUUAUAACUCUGCAAUCGGAGAGAUUGAGGUCUGCAGCGUAGAUCCUUCGGGGUUAGAUACGUUUAUGCUAAGAUUAUAGCUUUUCAUAGACAACUUGUUGACUAUGUUUAGUCAUGUAGCUUACUCGUAAGUGCUAUUUUACCUACGCUUAGGAUGUUGACACACGCGCGUGCUCG
rnacentral:rRNA from 1 species